UACUUUCAACUUGUAAUUUGCACUGUUUAACCCAAUUAAUUUGAUUCAUUUUCAUCUUCAUUUGAUGGAAAAUAUUAUUUCACUUGGAAAUGUUGAAGUUAAAUCUGAAGGAUCAAGACUCAAAUUACUUCACUUCGGUUUGAUGUUCUCUGUUUUGGGCUAUUUUAUAUGCUAAAUUGCCAAAAUAAUGUGGUGAUCAUAUCAUGGAAUUGUUUGAUAAGAACAUAUGCAUAAAAUUCUAAAUAGAAUAUAAAAAAGGUAAUUUUGCAUAUCAUUAUAUUGCUACUACCAUUUGUUGAAAUUUUGGCCCUGGAACAAUACACAUGAAAUAUAAGUUAUAAUUUUAGGUAAAAAAAAAGUGACAGAUUAAGUCGUAACUCUCUUCCACAUAGCAAGGAGAAUAUGUUGGAAAGGUGUCAAAUUUUUGUUACAUACUUGUACUUUUAUGAAGCUGAUGAUAUUACACCAAGGUAAUAAAUUAUAGCUUAAUUUUUUUAUGAUUAUAAUGAUGAUUUACACGGAUAAGUCUUUUUUAGAGAGCAGUUAGUGGAGUCUAUAUCAACAAAAGAGUGUUAAAGUGGAGUUAAGAAGCAAUUUAGACCAUCGACAUGUUUGAUCUUAUUUGCUCCUAUGGUCGUAUUAUUGCUCUUAUGCAUCAUUUCAAU
rnacentral:lncRNA from 1 species